GGUUUGGGCACCAGUUCUGUUAAUUGUGUGAUUGUGAACAAAACAUCAGAGGAGACAAACAGAGGAUACCGAAUCAUUUUUGUUUAUGCCAGCUAACACUAAGGGCUUUUGGGAUCACAGAUAUGUUGUAUGCUGCUAUUAGGAAAUUCACUGCGUUAAAAAAACUUAGAAUUUACGGUCUUCUUGAGUCUGUCAGUGAUCCCUAUUUUCCAGUCAAAAAUUUGUACUGAGAUCUGAAACUCUUCCCUCACUCCUCCUCUGCCCUCCCUCCCCUUCCACUCAAUAAUACCCUUUUCUCUCAGGGUAUGCUAAGUACAGCAUGAUUCUCGAGAGAUUAUUUUCUCCUUUUUUAUUGCUUUUGACUCUUUAUUACUGCUCAUUAUAAUGUUAUUAACUUGGCUGCAGUUAUGACAGUAUUCAACACCUGUUUCAUACAGCAAGCACAUUCCCUUUCUCUUCCGUAGCAUUGCACACCUGGGCCUUGAAUUAUUCCCUUUGGCUGAGUUGAAAGAAGGAGCAUGAGAGAGCAGGUCCUUGAUUUUUCUGAGCAGGGCAAAGACAACGAGGAGAUGCAGCAGCAAGAGGACUGCUGCAUGAGGAAAGGCAGUGAAGGUCAUCGGGUGCUGGGAGGUGGAUGAGUGGAGUCCGGCCAGAGGCGUGGCAGCAGAGGACGAGCAUCCCAGUAGUUUUACAGCAGGAGCAGUGACCCUUGCUUUGUUUCUGCAGGAAAUGAGGAUCUUUUUUUAAGCCUGAACCCACGAUUUUAUUCAGCCGUGAUCGCUGAUGACAAAGCAGCAGCCCGUGGUUACCACGAGGUGUGGGCAACGAAAGUGAACCAGAAGCACGCCCGUGUUCCUGUUCCAGAUCAGGCACUUCUCCCUGGAAUGCCUGCGGCCGCCUGGCAGCCUGGAGCCCUUCCUCGACAGAAGCUCCCGCUCACCUUACAGCACCGCUUCGGUGAGUGAAACCCCCAGAGCGUGCUGCUAGAAGUGAGGUCGGGGGGGAUUUCACUUGGGCAGGACUGCAGGAGUCACUGGAAGAGAGUAGGUUCCUGUGUGAAGGCAGCUUGUAUCUUACCAGGAAAUCUACAGCGCUAGGGAAGUUCACAACACAAACUGCUUUUUUCCUCUGUUGCCGUUGUUAUUACUUUUGAUUAAAAACCAGAAGAAAACAAAAAAAAAACUGUUGUCAUAUUUGGUACAAUACAGGAAGUCAGAGAAAAGCUAUUGUACAGCAAUUUUUAACCACCAACACACAUUUAAUAUCUAGUGUAGCGUUAUGGAAAACUCAAUGUAUGUUUGGACUUCUUAAUGCUUCCAAAAAACUUUACUAUUGAAACAUAUAUGCGAUGUGGAUUGUAUGCUCAUAAUCUCACUGUAGUCAAGACAACAUACAGUAUGACUCGUAGGUACUGUAAAAAUGCUAACUAAAGAAUGCAGCUGCAAAGUACUAUUGCAUAAGGAAGCUUUCUUGUUUAAACUUUAAAUAAGCAAGUUUAUUAAAAUAUUCUAAGACACUUACCUUACCCUAGUUACUGGCAAGCUCUAAUAAAAGCCACAGUCUGUCACUAGUAUACUUUUCU
rnacentral:lncRNA from 1 species